rnacentral:rRNA from 1 species
AUGUCGGCUCUGCGGCACGGAGAGCCGCCGGCGAAGCAAAGGAACAUCGACCCCAUCGUCCGGACUGACCAUCCGUGGGAUCUCCCGGCAACAGUCCCCCUCCCCCACCGCUGCGACUGCCCAGUUUAUGGCGAUCAGCUGUGGAGAGCUUCAGGCUUUAUUGUCGAAUUUGAUGAAUCCAGCAUGAUUGGGACAAUAUUUUCAUGUGCAACUGUAUCUGAACACAUUCUGAUGUUCCCUAAAAUUGACAAGAUAAGAGAGUAUCUAUUUGAUGGUACCUCUUAUGACGCCAGCAUAGAAGCUUGCGACAAUCACUGGAAUUUGUUAGUAUUGUCUGUUUCAUUUGGUCGUGCUGUCAAAACCAUGAACAUGGUGGAAAUUAGCGAGAACAGAAAUGCAAUGGAUGUUCAUCUUCAAGGAUUUGUGCUACAGCCUCACUCAGCUUCUGAAAGGCUUUGUCCUGGCGAUACCAUUAUCGGACUUGGUCGACAGUCUACAGAGCCUUUUGGGCUUCAAGCGAAUUGUGGAGUUUACAGGCGUCAAUUGGAGGUCCAGCAAUAA